AUGCAGGUCAGCACAGCGUUUAGGCGUUUUGACCUGAAAAGCGGAAGGUCGGCGGUUCGACCCCGCCCCUGCCCACCA
rnacentral:tRNA from 1 species